rnacentral:rRNA from 1 species
AACGAACGCUGGCGGCAUGCCUAACACAUGCAAGUCGAACGAGACCUUCGGGUCUAGUGGCGCACGGGUGCGUAACGCGUGGGAACCUGCCCUUAGGUUCGGAAUAACUCCCCGAAAGGGGUGCUAAUACCGGAUAAUGUCUUCGGACCAAAGAUUUUUCGCCUUUGGAUGGGCCCGCGUUGGAUUAGCUAGUUGGUAGGGUAAAAGCCUACCAAGGCGACGAUCCAUAGCUGGUCUGAGAGGAUGAUCAGCCACACUGGGACUGAGACACGGCCCAGAAUCCUACGGGAGGCAGAAGUGGGGAAUAUUGGACAAUGGGCGAAAGCCUGAUCCAGCAAUGCCGGGUGAGUGAUGAAGGCCUUAGGGUUGUAAAGCUCUUUUACCCGGGAUGAUAAUGACAGUACCGGGAGAAUAAGCUCCGGCUAACUCCGUG